AACCCAAGCCUGGAGGGUGCUGGGGACUCAGGGGAGGGAAGCUGUUCUUUCAAACUGUUUGUAACCCAAGGAAGAAAAUCAUCAGCCUAUAUGCCUUUCACAGCAUUUGAUGACAAAAUGGUUUGUGGCUUAGCCAUUGUUUGAGGGCCAUUCCUCAAAUUCCUUGUUUACUGUCAGCAGGAGAGAAAGAAAAAAUGCUCAUUUUCAGCUGCAAGGAUGAGUAGAUCAGAAGUGAAAUCCAACCCCCAAAUACCUCCAGCUCCUGAAGGACUGGGAGCUAGCAGGCUGGGAUGAUGCUGAAAGAAAACAUGAAAAUCAACAGUCGUAAGUGUGCUUAAACCAACUGCUGGCUGUGGGAAAAGAAUAAUAAGCAAAAUUUGUUCAUUUGUCUUUUGUUCGCUUCUUCAUUGAAGAACAAG